rnacentral:snoRNA from 1 species
UCGUCAGGUGGGAUAAUCCUUACCUGUUACUCCGUAUGGAGAACAGAUGAGAAAAUGAUGAUUGGAGUUUGCAUGAUACGUGAUUAUACGUCUCUGCGUAAUCAGGACUGGCAACACCCUGAUUGCUCCUAUCUGAU